rnacentral:rRNA from 1 species
GCUGGCGGCAUGCUUAACACAUGCAAGUCGAACGCGAAAGUCACUUCGGUGGCGAGUAGAGUGGCGGACGGGUGAGUAACGCGUAGGAAUCUGCCCAGUAGUGGGGGACAACUCGGGGAAACUCGAGCUAAUACCGCAUACGCCCUACGGGGGAAAGUGGGGGAUCUUCGGACCUCACGCUAUUGGAUGAGCCUGCGUCGGAUUAGCUAGUUGGUGGGGUAAAGGCCUACCAAGGCGACGAUCCGUAGCUGGUCUGAGAGGACGGCCAGCCACACUGGGACUGAGACACGGCCCAGACUCCUACGGGAGGCAGCAGUGGGGAAUAUUGGACAAUGGGCGCAAGCCUGAUCCAGCAAUGCCGCGUGUGUGAAGAAGGCCUGCGGGUUGUAAAGCACUUUCAAUUGGGAAGAAAAGCUUGAGGUUAAUACCCUCGAGUCUUGACGUUACCUUUAGAAGAAGCACCGG